rnacentral:rRNA from 1 species
CCUGACUGCUAUCGGAUUGAUACUAAGCCAUGCGAGUCUUUGUAGUAAUACAAGGCAGACGGCUCAGUAACACGUAGUCAACCUACCCUAUGGACGAGGAUAAUCUCGGGAAACUGAGGAUAAUACUCGAUAGAUCAUAAUGCCUGGAAUGGUUUAUGGUUAAAAUGAUUCGUCGCCAUAGGAUGGGACUGCGGCCUAUCAGCUUGUUGGUGAGGUAAUGGCCCACCAAGGCGAUUACAGGUACGGGCUCUGAGAGGAGAAGCCCGGAGAUGGGUACUGAGACAAGGACCCAGGCCCUAUGGGGCGCAGCAGGCGAGAAAACUUUGCAAUGUGCGAAAGCACGACAAGGUUAAUCCGAGUGAUUUCUGCUAAAGAGAUCUUUUACCAGUCAUAAAACCACUGGUGAAUAAGGGGUGGGCAAGUUCUGGUGUCAGCCGCCGCGGUAAAACCAGCACCUCAAGUGGUCAGGAUGAUUAUUGGGCCUAAAGCAUCCGUAGCCGGCUCUGUAAGUUUUCGGUUAAAUCCAUGUGCUCAACGCAUGGGCUGCCGAAAAUACUGCAUAGCUAGGGAGUGGGAGAGGUAGACGGUACUCAGUAGGAAGGGGUAAAAUCCUUUGAUCUAUUGAUGACCACCUGUGGCGAAGGCGGUCUACCAGAACACGUUCGACGGUGAGGGAUGAAAGCUGGGGGAGCAAACCGGAUUAGAUACCCGGGUAGUCCCAGCUGUAAACGAUGCAGACUCGAUGAUGCAUUGGCAUAUAGCCAGUGCAGUGUCGCAGGGAAGCCGUUAAGUCUGCCGCCUGGGAAGUACGUACGCAAGUAUGAAACUUAAAGGAAUUGGCGGGGGAGCACCACAAGGGGUGAAGCCUGCGGU